rnacentral:tRNA from 6 species
GGGGAUAUAGCUCAGUUGGGAGAGCGCUUGCAUGGCAUGCAAGAGGUCGUCGGUUCGAUCCCGAUUAUCUCCA